rnacentral:rRNA from 1 species
GGGUAGCCUGCCCAAGAGACUGGGAUAACACCUGGAAACAGAUGCUAAUACCGGAUAACAACACUAGACGCAUGUCUAGAGUUUAAAAGAUGGUUCUGCUAUCACUAUUGGAUGGACCUGCGGUGCAUUAGCUAGUUGGUAAGGUAACGGCUUACCAAGGCAAUGAUGCAUAGCCGAGUUGAGAGACUGAUCGGCCACAUUGGGACUGAGACACGGUCCAAACUCCUACGGGAGGCAGCAGGC